GUCUACGGCCAUACCACCAUGAACAUGCCCNAUCUCAUCUGAUCUCUGAAGCUAAGCAGGGUAGGGCCUGGUUAGUACUUGGAUGGGAGAAAAGCGCCUAUGUAUGUCCAGUACAGAUG
rnacentral:rRNA from 1 species